rnacentral:rRNA from 1 species
CGUGUCGUGAGAUGUUGGGUUAAGUCCCGCAGCGAGCGCAACCCUUGCCAUUAGUUGCUACGAAAGGGCACUCUAAUGGGACUGCCGGUGACAAACCGGAGGAAGGUGGGGAUGACGUCAAGUCCUCAUGGCCCUUAUAGGUGGGGCUACACACGUCAUACAAUGGCUGGUACAGAGGGUUGCCAACCCGCGAGGGGGAGCUAAUCCCAUAAAACCAGUCGUACUCCGGAUCGCAGUCUGCAACUCCACUGCGUGAAAUCCGAAUCGCUAGUAAUCGCGGAUCAGAAUGUCCCGGUGAAUACCUUCCCGGGUCUU